UUGUAAUCUAGAGAAGUAAUGCCCGUGCUGGACCGUAUACAAGUCUCCUGGGAUGGAGCAUCAUAGAGGGUGAGAAUCCCGUCUCUGAUACGGACUACCAGUGCAUUGUGGUAUGCUCUCAACGAGUCGAGUUGUUUGGGAAUGCAGCUCAAAAUGGGUGGUAAAUUCCAUCUAAAGCUAAAUAUUGGCGAGAGACCGAUAGCGAACAAGUACCGUGAGGGAAAGAUGAAAAGAACUUUGGAAAGAGAGUUAAACAGUACGUGAAAUUGCUGAAAGGGAAACGCUUGAAGUCAGUCGUGUCUGCUGGGAAUCAGCCUUGCUUUUGCGUGGUGUACUUCCUAGUUUGAUGGGUCAGCAUCAAUUUUGACUGCUGGAAAAAGAUAGGAGGAAUGUGGCAGCUCCGGCUGUGUUAUAGCCUCUUAUUGUAUACAGCAGUUGGGAUUGAGGAACGCAGCACGCCGAAAGGCCGGGUCUUCAGACUACGUUCGUGCUUAGGAUGCUGGCAUAAUGGCUUUAAGCGACCCGUCUUGAAACACGGACCAAGGAGUCUAACAUGCCUGCGAGUGUUUGGGUGGAAAACUCGAGCGCGUAAUGAAAGUGAAAGUUGAGAUCCCUGUCGUGGGGAGCAUCGACGCCCGGACCAGAACUUUUGGGACGGAUCCGCGGUAGAGCAUGUAUGUUGGGACCCGAAAGAUGGUGAACUAUGCCUGAAUAGGGUGAAGCCAGAGGAAACUCUGGUGGAGGCUCGUAGCGGUUCUGACGUGCAAAUCGAUC
rnacentral:rRNA from 1 species